UUGCUUUUCGCUGCAAUUUAUUGAACAAAUCUUUGGGGAAUUGUGAGGAGAGUUAGCCGUAAUAAUCAUUAAAAACUUUUUUUCACCAUGAAUUGCAAACAGCCCAGAUGGCCCGCAGACACUUGGCAUUAAAAAUUAUUGUAUGUGGGUACAUAUAGAGGUAUGUAUGCCAUAAAUUAUUUUUUUCAUUAUAAUUAUUAAUGCAUUAUUCUUUAUCUUUUUUUUCUAAUGGAAAACAAAAUGAUCUGUCUCACAAUUAUCCAAACACAUACACACAAACACGCGCGCGCUUUUUUUUCCGAGACUUACACUUGACGUCAAAUAUUCCAAAUAGUGACGCCAAAACCAUAGCUUUCCCUACACUGAAAGAGUCUGGUUUUGGUUUUUUUUUGCGAUUUCCUCUAUUAUCUGCCAGCGACACACCGCCAACCAACAACCAAUCACAGCGAAGAAUUUCAAUCUUUUUUUGUUGCUGUUGCUCUGCUGCCAAGUUGCAAAUCUUGUGUUUUUUUUUCAUCAGCAGGCAGAUCACUUGGAGAACUCUUAUGAAAUUAUUGCCAGCCAGCCAGCCAGCCAGCCGGAUGGAUGAACGAACGAACGAAAGAGUCGGAGGGAAACCUGUUGAAUAAUUGCAUGACAUGGCGACAGUUUGAACAGAUGUUAGAAAUGAACAUUUUUUUGGUUUCAUUUCGUUCUUGUCAUUUUAUCGAACAAUCGAUCCAUCAAUUGAAGGGGCAUUAUUUAAAUGAUUGAAACUCUAAUUAAGGCAAAAUGUGACAAAGGAA